GGGGAUUUAGCUCAGUGGCAUAAGCACCUGUCUUGCAAGCAGGCAAUCAUGAGUUCAAUCCCCG
rnacentral:tRNA from 1 species